rnacentral:rRNA from 1 species
UUAAGUCCCGCAACGAGCGCAACCCUUACCCUUAGUUGCCAGCGGGUAAUGCCGGGCACUCUAAGGGGACCGCCCCGGAUAACGGGGAGGAAGGCGGGGAUGACGUCAAGUCAGCAUGGCCCUUAUGUCCAGGGCUACACACGUGCUACAAUGGGCGAUACAGAGGGAAGCAAGGCCGCAAGGUAGAGCUAAUCCCUAAAGUCGUCCUCAGUUCGGAUUGCAGGCUGCAACUCGCCUGCAUGAAGUCGGAAUCGCUAGUAAUCGCGGAUCAGCUACGCCGCGGUGAAUACGUUCUCGGGCCUU